rfam:Capsicum annuum cultivar Zunla-1 unplaced genomic scaffold scaffold688, whole genome shotgun sequence
GUUGCUUCUUAAGGUGAACUCUCUUUAUAUUAAUUAAAGUGAGAGACGUUCAAGUUUCCGAAGCAUAAAUCAACUGUCAGUAUUAAACAGCAUGCUGCAUUUUCAAUUGCAUCUUGCUACCUGUCUCCUGCUACAUUC